rnacentral:rRNA from 1 species
GACGAACCGAGCGAACGUUGUUCGGAAUCACUGGGCUUAAAGGGCGCGUAGGCGGGCUGUCAAGUCUGGGGUGAAAUCCCGCGGCUCAACCGUGGAACUGCCUUAGAUACUGACGGCCUCGAGGGAGAUAGGGGCGAGCGGAACUGUGAGUGGAGCGGUGAAAUGCGUUGAUAUUCACAGGAACUCCGGUGGCGAAGGCGGCUCGCUGGAUCGCUUCUGACGCUGAGGCGCGAAAGCUAGGGGAGCAAACGGG